GACGUAGGGCGCGAGCGUUGUCCGGAUUUAUUGGGCGUAAAGAGCUCGUAGGCGGCUUGUUACGUCGACUGUGAAAACCCGCGGCUCAACUGCGGGCCUGCAGUCGAUACGGGCAGGCUAGAGUUCGGUAGGGGAGACGUGGAAUUCCUGGUGUAGCGGUGAAAUGCGCAGAUAUCAGGAGGAACACCGGUGGCGAAGGCGGGUCUCUGGGCAUUACCUGACGCUGAGGAGCGAAAGUGUGGGGAGCGAACAGG
rnacentral:rRNA from 1 species